rnacentral:tRNA from 1 species
UCAGGGUCUGCUACAUAAAGCAAUUGGGCCCAUACCCCAAAAACGGUAAUAUUCACCCCCUGAC